rnacentral:rRNA from 1 species
AACGAACGCUGGCGGCGGGCUUAACACAUGCAAGUCGAACGGAAAGGCCCUGCUUUUGUGGGGUUCUCGAGGGGCGAACGGGUGAGAAACACGUGAGUAACCUGGCCUUGACUUUGGGAUAACUUCAGGAAAGUGGUGCUAAUACCGGAUAGGAGCUCCUGCUGGAGGGUGGUGGUUGGAAAGUUUCGGCGGAGGUGAAUGGAGGCGGGGCUUAACAGCUUGUUGGGGGGGGAGUGGCUUACCAAGGCAUUGACAGGUAGCCGGCCUGAGAGGGUGACCGGCCACCCUGGGACUGACAUAAGGCACCAGCUCCGACGAGAGGAAGAAGUGGGGAAGACUGCACCAUGGGCGGGAGCCUGAUGAAGAAACGCCGCGGGCUGGAUGACACUUUACGGGUGGUAAAACGCCAUUGCCUGUGACGAAGCGUGAGUGAAGGUAAUGGGCAAAGAAGCACCGGCUAACUACGUG